rnacentral:rRNA from 1 species
UCGGGAAUUUUGGGCAAUGGGCGAAAGCCUGACCCAGCAACGCCGCGUGAGGGAUGAAGUAUUUCGGUAUGUAAACCUCGAAAGAAUGGGAAGAAUAAAUGACGGUACCAUUUAUAAGCUCCGGCUAACUACGUGCCAGCAGCCGCGGUAAUACGUAGGGAGCAAGCGUUGUUCGGAUUUACUGGGCGUAAAGGGCGCGUAGGCGGCGCGGUAAGUCACUUGUGAAAUCUCUGAGAUUAACUCAGAACGGCCAAGUGAUACUGCUGUGCUAGAGUGCGGAAGAGGCGACCGGAAUUCUUGGUGUAGCGGUGAAAUGCGUAGAUAUCAAGAGGAACACCUGAGGCGAAGGCGGGUUGCUGGGCCGACACUGACGCUGAUGCGCGAAAGCCAGGGGAGCAAACG